UACGUAGGGUGCGAGCGUUGUCCGGAAUUAUUGGGCGUAAAGAGCUCGUAGGCGGCUUGUCGCGUCGUCCGUGAAAACCUGCGGCUCAACUGCAGGCUGGCGGUCGAUACGGGCAGGCUGGAGUUCGGUAGGGGAGACUGGAAUUCCUGGUGUAGCGGUGAAAUGCGCAGAUAUCAGGAGGAACACCGGUGGCGAAGGCGGGUCCCUGGGACGGUACUGACGCUGAGACGCGAAAGCGUGGGGAGCGAACAGG
rnacentral:rRNA from 1 species